GAAGAGGCAACAUUAUCCCUGAUGAUGAUGAUUCUUCAAUGGAAGUCAGCUCUUUUUAUCUGCUUCUUGUGUCGUUAUUCACAUGGAGGGAUGAGGAUGGAGAGACAAAAAAUAGCAAUAAUGAUACCUGUCAAGAUAAGAAUCAAUCCUUUUCUUGUAAUGCCGGAUGCUGAGGGUUGACUUGAAGUCUUUUUUUUUGCUUCUCCAUCAUGUUGAUGCUUGUUGCCUUAAUGAUGAUGCUUUAGAUGGACAUGAUAAAAUACUAUUAACUUGCAUAAACUUUACACCCCUGUUAAAAUAUCACUUGCAAUCAGUGCGUCAAAAGAUAAACAUUACAACAAUUUACAACAUUGACGAAGUGUGUCUUACAUUUACUAUGACAAAAACACGAGGGAUGAUGAAAACGAUGAUAAUCUUUCAUGAUGAUCAGCCUAAUGAUGAAAGCCUGAUGCCUGAUUACAGCUGAUGAUGAUGAUGAUAAACAUUGAGAGAGUUGUUUUUGUCUCGGAACAAAAAAGUUAUCCUUUUUACUCAUUUUCUUGGUGAUUCUUAAAAAAGUGAUUGCAAAAAAAAAGUUUGCUUUUUUUUCAUUCAGCAAACUUCAAGUAUAUCGACAAGAUUAUAAAUUGAUGUUGUUGUUUUGAUUUUUUUUUUGCUUCGAAACUUUUUUUUGGCCUCUCGCCUUUCAGAAAAGUUUUACGAGUCAUCAAAAUACUAUGAAAAUGUAAUAUAUUAUUUGGACUUUUUUUCUUAUCGAUUUGUAUCUCCCCAAUUCGCAGCAGAUUAACAUACACAAUGACGGGGAACGUGUGGCCUUUUCCGAUGCUGAUAAUGACUGAAUAUACACUUUGAAUAUAAUAUGUUUGCAUUACCUUAUCGUUUGUUUGUAUCUCGCUCAUCAUUUGACUUGCAGUUUCUAUUGUGAUGGAUUUACAUGAAUCGCUUUGAUUUGUUUUCCAAGGAGUAAAAUGAGAAUUCAGUUAAUCAUCAUCAUCAUCAUCAUCAUCUACAGAAACAGUAGCUGUUUAAAUGUUUUUUUCAAUGAUGAGAAUGAAAAUGAUCAUCAUCAGUCUCUUUCCCUCUUCUCAUCAAGUGAGAUCACGAACUUUUCAAUCAACAUUAACUAGUGUAAUGAGAGAGAAUGAAGGGAGUCAAAUGAUAUGGGAGGUAAAUGAAUGACGGGCUUGGAGAGACUUUGGAGGAAAGAGAGAGUGGGAAGUUGGAAGAGGAGAAAAGGAGCAAGGAUGAGGAAGGAGGCGAUGGAAAAUGUCACUUGCACUGUAUCCGUUUCCAUGAGUUUUUAUCUUGAUCCUUAUUUUUCAUGAAGCGAAUAUAUUUCAACACCAACGAACUUUGGAUUCUAGUGAAUUAGAUUGAAAUCUUUUGAUCUAAGAAGAGAAAAAAAAUCUUUUCUUUUCUUGAUCAUCUUCUUGGAAGAAGAACAAUGAAAGAAAAGUUUUCCAUCAUCAUCUUCAUCUCAACUUUACAAUGUAACAAUUUCUUGAUUGUUUACUUAUCUUAUCAUGUUUAUGAUGAUGAUGAUUCAACAAUCAACAUGAAAUUUGAAUUAAAUUCAACUCGAAAUUGAAAAAUAUAUUGAAAUUAACUACGAUAAUAUAAUCUUUUCCCAAUCUGUUUACUUUUCCAUUUGAUUCCAACAGGAAAAUCUACUGAUUGUUUACAAUCAAAUCUUAUUAAUUCCUAAAUCUAAUUAUUUUUGGCAUCAUCAAAAUCAAAGAGAUAACGACAAAUAUCAACCGUGACAAUGAUGAUGGAGGACAGAGAAGGAGCUGAAGAGAUGACACCAAAUUAAGUGGGAGUGAGAAGCAUAUUGCCGAUCAUCUUGAACCACAAACGAGAGAGAAAGAGAUGAAGAGAGUUAUCAUAAAUCCUAAUCGUCCCGUUAAUCCAAUUGUGAAACUCAAGCAUUCGGAUUAGCAUGAGAUUAGUAAAUUUAGUUUUUUUUCCUUUCAUAAACCUUCAACUUUUAAUCUCUGGUAAAAACAUGAACACACAACAAGAGUAAAAACAACAAUCUAAUAUUUGCAAUUCAAUAAUUGCAAUUGUAUUAAACCACAAUUGCUUUUUCCUCCCGCCGGUUAACCCUCUUCCCACUCCUCCCUUUUGAUUCAUUAUCAUUUGUUGAUGAUGAUGAUCAUCAUCAUCUUGAUCUUCUUUCUUUUAUCUUCUUUUACUGUUAUAUUUUAUUUACUAAACUUAAUCUUGUCACAACAACACUUUGUCACUAAUCCUCUUCCUCCUCCUUUUCCACCUUAAUCCUAAUCACACUAAAACCUUUAACAACUUCUUGUUAUUAUUAUUACGUGAGUGAUAUUAAUAAACAAUUAUCCACUUGGUGCAAUAAAUUAUUAUCAAUGUUAAUAAUUUAUUAGCCUUGAAUAUAACUGUUUACAUGGUUCAAGUUGGAUAUUUAUGUUUAGUCAAUUGAAUUGAAAAUUUUACUCAUGAAAAAGUGAAAAAUAGUUUCAUUGAAAUUGGAUAAGUUUCCAUUGACACUUCCAUGUCCACCUUCAUCAUUUGACAGGGGAGAGAGAGAGAGUGAGUGAGUGAGUGAGUAGGGUGGGUGAAGGUUAUUGUUAAAGUAACAUUUUUUUCAUCAUUAUAUCUUAAGGCGAAGUCAUUUUAACCUUUGGUAAAAAAAGUUAUGUUUCAAUGGAAGGAAAAAGUUCACCCAAGAGUCUCUUUUAUAU